GUAGGGACUAAUUUUCUAGAGUUUGAUGUGGAAAUACGCGAAUUGCCUGAGGAGCGAUGGUAUGCAAUGAUACAGGUAGGACGGAUAGCGGCGAAAGCAGUAUUUUAUGUAAAAACUGACGUUGAGGGACGAAGCCUUGGGGAGCAAGAAGGAUUAGAUACCCUAGUAGUCCUUGGAGAAAAUUAUGAGUGCCAUAGACUAGACCAGAUUUUAGUUUAUAAAUGAAAGUGUAAGCAUUCCACCUCAUGAGUAAAGCGGCAACGCCGAAAUUGAAAUCAUUAGACCGUUUCUGAAACCAGUAGUGAAGUAUGUUAUUUAAUUCGAUGAUCCGCGAAUAACCUUACCACCUCUUGAAUAUUUUACAAGCGCUGCACGGCUGUCUUCAGUUAAUGUCGUGAGAUUUUGGUUAGUUCCAUUAAUUAACGUAAACCCAUGUUUUAUU
rnacentral:rRNA from 11 species